AAAAACAAAUAAACAAAAAAAAUUUUUUAAGUUGGGUGAGACAGCGAUGAGUAGGUGAUGUUUAAGGCCAUGUGCAAAGUCAGCUAUGAGGGAUGCCACCACGCCCAAUGGUACCCUGCUAAAUGCCAAGAGCCACGAGAGAACAGAUACCAAACACCUUUAUCAAAUUGUCGCAAGUCUCUAUGGCAGCAGUUCUCAACCAUUAUCAGAUAUCCUGCAUAGCAGGCUUUUACAUUGCGAUUCUUUAACAGUAGUAAUAUUGUAGUUAUGAAGUAGCAAUGAAAUAAUUUUAUGUUGGGGGUCAUCACAGCGUGAGGAACUGUAUUAAAGUAUCUCAGCACUAGGGAGGUUGAGAAGCAUCGCUCCAUAGCAAGGGUGACUUUUUCUCUUUCUACUGAAGAGACCGAAGCAAGGAAAGAUUUUUUUUAAUGUGUGCAGAGGGGUUGGAGAGAUGGUUCAUCAGUCAUAAGUAUUUACUGCUCUUGUAGGGGAUCCCAGCACCCAUGUCUGGAAGCUCACAUCUGUAAUUCCAGCUCUAGGGGAUCCUAUGCCUUAACCUCCAUGGGUACCAGCCCUCAUGUGCACAUACUCAUACUCACACACAUACACAUAACUGUUAAACAAUAAGCCUAUAGGCCAGAUAUGGUGACACAAACCUUUAAUCCCAGCACUCUGGAGGCAGAGGCAGGUGGAUCUCUAUGAAUUUAAGGCCAGCCUGGUCCACAGAGUGAGUUCCAGGCCAGCCAAGGCUGUCUCAGAUGAAUAAACAUAUAAAUCUUAAAAAUUAAAAUCUUCACAGCCAGUGUGUGACACACACAAGUAAUCCAAGCACUAAGGAGCCAAAGUGGGGUGACCAUAGUUCAAGGAGAACAAGAACUUGUCUGGAACACAGUCCAAGAAUAGAAUACGGUGAGGAGAAUUCUGAGUGCUUGUGAGAAAACAAGACAAGGAUUUUGUGACCUCAGUUUCUCCAAAACCACAGAAUUGUUCUUGGAAUGUGCUUUCAUGUGCUUCCCAGGCGUAGCAGAGAGGAAUGAGGUCACUUCAGAUUAUUCAUUUGCAUCCGGCUAUUGUUUUUUGUUUACAUGCCUCUAUGGAAAAACGUGUUUUUGCCACAUGUGACUUGUCCUUGUGGUUGUCCAUUUUACUUGUGAGAGUCUUCUUAACCCUCAGAGGAUAAACUGUCCGAUGCUCUGAAUAAACUUGGCUAUUGCGUGAGACUUUAGUCCUCCUCAUUUUUAGGCUCGGCUCUCCCAGGCUCAAAGGCCUUUAGAGUGUUGAACAGAGAACAAGGAGGGGAAGUAAGAAGAGAAGAUGUGCCCAAAGUCAGCCAGCCAGCAAGAGAUGAAACGCGUUCAAAUCUGAACCCUUCGAUCUCUGCAUCUUCCCACUGUGUCCUUCAGUCUCUGCUGGCAAGCUUGGCUGUGACACUGUAAACACUGUAGAACCUUUAGAACAGUUUGUUUCGAAUAGCCUUAAAGAGCUGUGGCGAGGUUGAUGGCCUUAGGGAGAGCUGGACUUAUGCCAGGCAGAAGCAUUUCCCAAGCUGUGUUCACACCCACUCUGCCCCUACUGCCAGGCUCAUCAGAAGCCUCAGGCCACCUCAGAUGCAGCCUAAAAGAUACGUUCUCCUGCAGUGUGGUAAGAGACAGACAGAGGGACCAUCCCCAGGUGCAUUGGAAGCUGUCCUAAGACCUGCCAGCCCUGGUGAGGCCUCCCUCUGAACCCCUUCCAAUCUUAGAGCUGAGGUCUCUUUCUAGGACUGGAUUCCAUCUCAGAUCCUCUCUAGACCAAGAUGGUGCCUCUGGCUUCCAGUGUCUGGGGAAGUGGAGAAGGAAGUGGGGCCAUAGCCGAGGGAAACAAACAGACAUAGAUCCCAUGUAACAGAGAAAACGAAAUAUGCCAUCUUGCAGCCUCAGCUGCUUCAUCCUUCCCCAUUGGCUAGGAUUCCAAGGCCACGGCUAUUGCUGGUCAGAGUAAGGAAGAGGAAAGGGAAGUGAGAGCAGAGGGCCAAGCCCGCUUUCCUGUGCCGUCUGCAGCUGGAGAGCUCUGAGCCCUGGGUAUCUCUUGAGCACCUUGGAGGAAGUCACUCUUAUUGUCUGCCGAAGAUGCCAGAAUGAUACAGUCUGGGCCGGCUUCACACCAUCUGUUUGUGCCCUCGGAAGUUUUAAAAUGAUCUCAGUGUUUACAGAUCUGAA